rnacentral:rRNA from 1 species
CUACGGGAGGCUCCAGUGGGGAAUAUUGCACAAUGGGCGCAAGCCUGAUGCAGCCAUGCCGCGUGUAUGAAGAAGGCCUUCGGGUUGUAAAGUACUUUCAGCGGGGAGGAAGGGAGUAAAGUUAAUACCUUUGCUCAUUGACGUUACCCGCAGAAGAAGCACCGGCUAACUCCGUGCCAGCAGCCGCGGUAAUACGGAGGGUGCAAGCGUUAAUCGGAAUUACUGGGCGUAAAGCGCACGCAGGCGGUUUGUUAGGUCAGAUGUGAAAUCCCCGGGCUCAACCGGGGAACUGCACCUGAACUGGCAAGCUUGAGUCUCGUAGAGGGGGGUAGAAUUCCAGGUGUAGCGGUGAAAUGCGUAGAGAUCUGGAGGAAUACCGGUGGCGAAGGCGGCCCCCUGGACGAAGACUGACGCUCAGGUGCGAAAGCGUGGGGAGCAAACAGGAUUAGAUACCCGGGUAGUC